rnacentral:rRNA from 1 species
GACGUAGGGCGCGAGCGUUGUCCGGAUUUAUUGGGCGUAAAGAGCUCGUAGGCGGCUUGUCGCGUCGACUGUGAAAACCCGCAGCUCAACUGCGGGCCUGCAGUCGAUACGGGCAGGCUAGAGUUCGGUAGGGGAGACUGGAAUUCCUGGUGUAGCGGUGAAAUGCGUAGAGAUCGGGAGGAACACCAGUGGCGAAGGCGGCUCGCUGGGCCGGACCUGACGCUGAGACGCGAAGGCGUGGGGAGCGAACGGG